GAGAACCAAAUGAAUCAAAAAUUCAUGUUUGGUUCGGGAAGGGAUCAUAAAAUUAUUGAAAUAAAAAAAAGAAUGGAAAGAUAAUCUACUUUCAU
rnacentral:ncRNA from 1 species